GAGAGAGAGAGAGAGCAGGUAUCAUAAGGCACCUGUCUGUUUGGAUAGAGUUGCUAGGAAGAUCCUGCACUGGCUGGAUCUGGGAACCUUUCUCUGUUUGGUUCAUCCUCUUCUAACCUUCGUCUACUGUGAAAGGGUAACAUCACCCAUUUCACAAGGUCUCUGUAUUUGGAAUACAUAGGAAUGGCAGAUUUUCCUGGGAUGGUGAACACUCAGACAAGCUCUCAGACAAGUCACGUCCGUGUCAUGAACGCAUUUGUUGGCUUGAACUUCAUUAAGAGCAUGCCUGGGAUACUUUUGCUGGUGGAGAUUGUGUUUGGCUUGCUGGUGUGGGCACUUGUCACCAGUACUGCCUACUGGGUCGUGCCUGCCUAUGGCUGGGUGUUGUUUGUGAGCAUAACACUGUGGCUCCUCAGCAUUGUGCUCUUCAUCAUGCUCUUUUUGGGUAUGAGGCACAAAUUGCCCUCUAUACCCUGGUCUAUAGUGCUGCUGGUGUUUUAUGGGGUUGCAGCUAUCCUGUAUUUCACAGCCUUUCUGGCAAAUACAGUCUCAAUCACUGCCUUUGGAGGGGGCUAUCACAUUGGUCAUGUGGCAGCGGCUGCGGUGAGUGAAGGCAUUUACUGUCAUCCAUUUUUCCCAAAGUCAAUACAAAGGUGCAAGUCAAUAUAAAAGUUAUUCUGACUUUAUCGCAUGUAUCCUCUGAUGAAACAUUUCUAUCCUGUUGGGAGUGUGGUCUCUUCCAGGAUGGCAAUAUCUCCAUUAACAGGUCACGAGGGUCACUGAAACGGUUGAUGAGUAUGAAUAUGAAGUAAACCAUACAAUAUGGUGAUGCAGUCACCAGAUCCCAACCCAAUUAAACAUCUAUUCACUAUCAUCAAAACACUAAUUGAGGGAAUAUCUUUUGGAAGAAUGGUGUUUAUGUCUCCAGUACAGUUCUAGAAUCUAUGCCAACGUACAUUGAAGCUUUUCUGGUGACUUCCAACAACUUAGUUUUUUGCCAUUUUUGUGACGAUGGCUUAUGCUGCCAGCACCGCCUUUGCUUA